rnacentral:rRNA from 1 species
AGAGUUUGAUCCUGGCUCAGGACGAACGCUGGCGGCGUUAACACAUGCAAGUCGAACGGUGAACCCCGCUUGNNNNNCAGUGGCGAACGGGUGAGUAACACGUGGGCAACCUGCCCUCAGCUCUGGGAUAACUCCAAGAAAUUGGGGCUAAUACUGGAUAUGACCCUGACCGCAUCUGGUGGUGGAAAGAUUUAUCGGCUGGGGAUGGGCCCGCGGCCUAUCAGCUUGUUGGUGGGGUAGUGGCCUACCAAGGCGACGACGGGUAGCCGGCCUGAGAGGGUGACCGGCCACACUGGGACUGAGACACGGCCCAGACUCCUACGGGAGGCAGCAGUGGGGAAUAUUGCGCAAUGGGCGAAAGCCUGACGCAGCGACGCCGCGUGGGGGAUGACGGCCUUCGGGUUGUAAACCUCUUUCAGCAGGGACGAAGCGAAAGUGACGGUACCUGCAGAAGAAGCACCGGCCAACUACGUGCCAGCAGCCGCGGUAAUACGUAGGGUGCAAGCGUUGUCCGGAAUUAUUGGGCGUAAAGAGCUCGUAGGCGGUUUGUUGCGUCGGCUGUGAAAACCUGAGGCUCAACCUCAGGCCUGCAGUCGAUACGAGCAGACUAGAGUGUUGCAGGGGAGACUGGAAUUCCUGGUGUAGCGGUGAAAUGCGCAGAUAUCAGGAGGAACACCGGUGGCGAAGGCGGGUCUCUGGGCAACAACUGACGCUGAGGAGCGAAAGCGUGGGGAGCGAACAGGAUUAGAUACCCUAGUAGUCC